CAUGGCGAGGGGCAGCCAGGCAGGCGGUCUUGGCAUUUGCAGGCUUGCAAAACGCCAGAAACGCUGAGCGAAGGGGACCCGGCCUUAGCCUCUCGCAUCUUAAGAAGAAUUUUUUUGUGGUCGGAUAAGGCAUUGGGCCUGCAUGGAGAAAAAGAUGGGAGAAGCUGUUGCCAGGGUAGCCAGGAAAGUGAAUGAAACUGUUGAAAACAGAACAGACUCUCUUGAUUUGGCAGAUUGCAAACUGAUGACCUUCCCCAUUGCCCUUUACAAAGUCAUGAGGCAUGUCACUGAAGGGAUACAUCUCAUCACUCUGGCCAAUAAUGAACUGAAGUCUGUGACGAGUAAAUUCAUCACCACCUUUAACCA